AGAGUUUGAUCCUGGCUCAGGAUGAACGCUGGCGGCGUGCCUAAUACAUGCAAGUCGAGCGAGAAUCAGUUGAUCGGAGAUUCGUCAAAGUGAAGCUGAGGAAAGCGGCGGACGGGUGAGUAACGCGUAGGCAACCUGCCCCUGGCAGAGGGAUAGCCAUUGGAAACGAUGAUUAAAACCUCAUAACGCUUUCGAGACACAUGUCUUGAGAGCCAAAGAUUUAUCGGCUGGGGAUGGGCCUGCGUCUGAUUAACUAGUUGGUGAGGUAACGGCCCACCAAGGUGACGAUCAGUAGCCGACCUGAGAGGGUGAUCGGCCACAUUGGAACUGAGACACGGUCCAAACUUCUACGGAAGGCAGCAGUAAGGAAUCUUGCACAAGUGGGGGAAACCCUGAAUGCAGCAACGCCGCGUGAACGAUGAAGGCCUUCGGGUUGUAAAGUUCUGAUCUUGGGGAAGAAGAAAGUGACGGUACCCAAGGAGAAAGCCCCGGCUAACUACGUGCCAGCAGCAGC
rnacentral:rRNA from 1 species